rnacentral:rRNA from 1 species
UAAGCGGAGGAAAAGAAACUAACAAGGAUUCCCCUAGUAACGGCGAGUGAAGCGGGAAGAGCUCAAAUUUGAAAUCUGGCGGCAUCCUGUCGUCCGAGUUGUAAUCUAUAGAAGUGUUUUCCGCGGCGGACCAUGUACAAGUCCCUUGGAACAGGGCGUCAUAGAGGGUGAGAAUCCCGUCCUUGACAUGAUCUCCGGUUGCUAUGUGAUACACUUUCAACGAGUCGAGUUGUUUGGGAAUGCAGCUCAAAAUGGGUGGUGAAUUCCAUCUAAAGCUAAAUAUUGGCGAGAGACCGAUAGCGAACAAGUACCGUGAGGGAAAGAUGAAAAGCACUUUGGAAAGAGAGUUAAACAGUACGUGAAAUUGUUGAAAGGGAAACGAUUGAAGUCAGUCAUGCUCUUUGGGUUAAGCCGUUCGCGGUGUAUUCCAUUGAGUGGGGUCAACAUCAGUUUUGACCGCUGGAAAAAGGCACGAGGAAGGUAGCACUCUCGGGUGAACUUAUAGCCUCGCGUCAUAUACAGUGGUUGGGACUGAGGAACGCAGCAUGCCUUAUGGCCGGGAUUCGUCCACGUACAUGCUUAGGAUG